CAGUCGCCGCGGGAAUACGAAGGGUGCAAGCGUUACUCGGAAUUACUGGGCGUAAAGCGUGCGUAGGUGGUGGUUUAAGUCCGUUGUGAAAGCCCUGGGCUCAACCUGGGAAUUGCAGUGGAUACUGGGUCACUAGAGUGUGGUAGAGGAUAGUGGAAUUUCCGGUGUAGCGGUGAAAUGCGUAGAGAUCGGGAUGAACAUCAGUGGCGAAGGCGGCCAUCUGGGACAACACUGACGCUGAGGCACGAAAGCGUGGGGAGCAAACAGGAUUAGAUACCCCAGUAGUCCCUGUCUCUUAUAC
rnacentral:rRNA from 1 species